rnacentral:pre_miRNA from 1 species
UUUCUACUCCCUCCGCCCAAAAAUACUUGUCAUAAAAAUGGAUAAAAAUAGAUGUAUCUAAAACUAAAAUACGUCUAGAUACAUUUCCUUUUAUCCAUUUUGAUGACAAGCAUUUCCGGACGGAGGGAGUAUUUG